rnacentral:rRNA from 1 species
UACGUUCCCGGGCCUUGUACACACCGCCCGUCACACCACGAAAGUUGGCAAUACCCGAAGUCGGUGUCCUAACCGUAAGGAGGGAGCCGCCGAAGGUAGGGUUGAUGAUUGGGGUG